CCAGAGCCUGAAUCAGUAUGUGUGUUAGUGGAAGCGUCUGGAAAGGCGCGCGAUACAGGGUGACAGCCCCGUACACAAAAAUGCACAUGCUGUGAGCUCGAUGAGUAGGGCGGGACACGUGGUAUCCUGUCUGAAUAUGGGGGGACCAUCCUCCAAGGCUAAAUACUCCUGACUGACCGAUAGUGAACCAGUACCGUGAGGGAAAGGCGAAAAGAACCCCGGCGAGGGGAGUGAAAAAGAACCUGAAACCGUGUACGUACAAGCAGUGGGAGCACGCUUAGGCGUGUGACUGCGUACCUUUUGUAUAAUGGGUCAGCGACUUAUAUUCUGUAGCAAGGUUAACCGAAUAGGGGAGCCGAAGGGAAACCGAGUCUUAACUGGGCGUUAAGUUGCAGGGUAUAGACCCGAAACCCGGUGAUCUAGCCAUGGGCAGGUUGAAGGUUGGGUAACACUAACUGGAGGACCGAACCGACUAAUGUUGAAAAAUUAGCGGAUGACUUGUGGCUGGGGGUGAAAGGCCAAUCAAACCGGGAGAUAGCUGGUUCUCCCCGAAAGCUAUUUAGGUAGCGCCUCGUGAAUUCAUCUCCGGGGGUAG
rnacentral:rRNA from 1 species